AAUGGGCGAAAGCCUGAUGCAGCAACGCCGCGUGAAGGAAGAAGGGUUUCGGCUCGUAAACUUCUAUCAAUAGGGAAGAAAGAAAUGACGGUACCUAAAUAAGAAGCCCCGGCUAACUACGUGCCAGCAGCCGCGGUAAUACGUAGGGGGCAAGCGUUAUCCGGAAUUACUGGGUGUAAAGGGAGAGUAGGCGGCAUGAUAAGUUAGAUGUGAAAGCCCGGGGCUUAACCUCGGGAUUGCAUUUAAAACUAUUGAGCUAGAGUACAGGAGAGGAAAGCGGAAUUCCUAGUGUAGCGGUGAAAUGCGUAGAUAUUAGGAAGAACACCAGUGGCGAAGGCGGCUUUCUGGACUGAAACUGACGCUGAGGCUCGAAAGCGUGGGGAGCGAA
rnacentral:rRNA from 1 species